CCUACGGGUGGCUGCAGUGAGGAAUAUUGGUCAAUGGACGAGAGCCUGAACCAGCCAAGUCGCGUGAGGGAAGACGGUCCUAUGGAUUGUAAACCUCUUUUGUCAGGGAGCAAGGAGCAGCACGUGUGGUGCGGCGUGAGUACCAUAGGAAAAAGGAUCGGCUAACUCCGGGCCAGCAGCCGCGGUAAUAAGGAGGAUGCGAGCGUUAUCCGGAUUUAUUGGGUUUAAAGGGAGCGCAGGCGGACGCGUCAAGCAGGCGGUAAAGUUUCAGGGUCAAACCUCGCCGAGCAGUUGAUACUGGGCGUCUUGAGUGGGCUAGAAGUAUGCGGAAUGCGUGGUGUAGCGGUGAAAUGCAUAGAUAUCACGCAGAACUCCGAUUGCGAAGGCAGCAUACCGGCGCCCAACUGACGCUGAGGCACGAAAGCGUGGGUAUCGAACAGGAUUAGAUACCCGUGUAGUC
rnacentral:rRNA from 1 species